rfam:Camelus ferus unplaced genomic scaffold scaffold314, whole genome shotgun sequence.
GAGGGUACAGCUCAAUGGUAGAGUGCAUGCCUAGCAUGCACAAAGUCCUUGGUUCAAACCCCAGUACCUCCA